rnacentral:rRNA from 1 species
UACAGAGGUCUCAAGCGUUGUUCGGAUUCAUUGGGCGUAAAGGGUGCGUAGGCGGCGCGGUAAGUCGGAUGUGAAAUCUCGGAGCUUAACUUCGAAACUGCAUUCGAUACUGCCGUGCUUGAGGACUGGAGAGGAGACUGGAAUUUACGGUGUAGCGGUGAAAUGCGUAGAUAUCGUAAGGAAGACCAGUGGCGAAGGCGGGUCUGCUGGACAGUUCCUGACGCUGAGGCACGAAGGUCAGGGGAGCAAACGGG